rnacentral:rRNA from 1 species
UACGGAGGGUGCAAACGUUGCUCGGAAUCAUUGGGCGUAAAGCGAGCGUAGGCGGUGUCGUAAGUCGGAUGUGAAAGCCCUCGGCUCAACCGAGGAAGUGCACCCGAAACUGCGAGACUUGAGUGCCGGAGAGGGUGGCGGAAUUCCCGGUGUAGAGGUGAAAUUCGUAGAUAUCGGGAGGAACACCAGUGGCGAAGGCGGCCACCUGGACGGUAACUGACGCUGAGGCUCGAAAGCGUGGGGAGCAAACAGG